rnacentral:other from 1 species
AUUCGAUAACAAGAUCCACUAAAACAAGGACUGAAAC